rnacentral:rRNA from 1 species
UCGGGAAUUUUGGGCAAUGGGCGAAAGCCUGACCCAGCAACGCCGCGUGAAGGAUGAAAUCUUUCGGGAUGUAAACUUCGGAAGAAUAGGAAGAAUAAAAUGACGGUACUAUUUUUAAGGUCCGGCUAACUACGUGCCAGCAGCCGCGGUAAUACGUAGGGACCAAGCGUUGUUCGGAUUUACUGGGCGUAAAGGGCGCGUAGGCGGCGUAAUAAGUCACUUGUGAAAUCUCCGGGCUUAACUCGGAGCGGCCAAGUGAUACUGUUAGGCUAGAGUGCAGAAAGGGCAAUCGGAAUUCUUGGUGUAGCGGUGAAAUGCGUAGAUAUCAAGAGGAACACCUGAGGCGAAGGCGGGUUGCUAGGCUGACACUGACGCUGAGGCGCGAAAGCUAGGGUAGCAAACGGGAUUAGAUACCCGGGUAGUCCCUGAGCGGGCUGGCAAGGCG